ensembl:piRNA 21ur-2109 ncRNA
UGUUUGCUUUUGAGCCGUAGC